AGGCGUCCCUCCUCUCCCAGGCUCCCGACCCUCGGCGCCACCUGUCGCUCCGCAGGCGUCCGAAGUUCUCUGGCUCCACGCCCCGUCUCUGAAGACCAGCUGUGACUACGUGAGCUGCUACCGUGAGCCUGCUGCCAACGCGGAGGACACAGAUUCGGAUGACUAUGUCAAUAUUCCUUACCUGACUCACCUAUCCAGCUGUCCCCCUGGGCCCAGACCCUGGUGCCAAUGAGCCCUGUCUAGCUGCUUGUUUCCAAUACUUGCUCUGUUUUCAGAGCCCUCAUUACCUCCUGCACCAGCCUCAAGUCUUGUUCCUGUCUCUUCAGAGAAUAGCUCAGUAACCCCCUCCCAGCUCUUCUUGCGCACCUCUGCAGCCGCCCUGUGGUUUUCAGGUGGGCUCUGGGCAUGCAGAGCAUUUGUCUUGGUUGCACCAGCUUCCUCUCCAAGCCGUGGAAUCUGCAGAGCGUCUUUGAUCACAGGAUCUUUACUGCCAUGGCUCCGGACUCAUGGCAUCAGGCUGGAGCAUAGGCCUGGCUGUGGCUUUGGGAGACUUUCUCAGGCUUGGGCGUCACACCAGUGGAAGGCUCUUGGACCUCGUAGUGAGGGCAUGCCUCAGCCCUGUGAGUUAGGAAGGGGUCAGGUAUGAAAUGCCCCUGGCAACAUCCUUUGCCCUGAUCUUGAGGCUGCCUCUUACUAGUGAGCUUCUGUACAUCUUGAGUCCGAUGGUGAGGACGUUUUCUCCUGAUAUGAUGAAAUGUAAAUUUUCAGAACCACGCUUGUUAGUGUUAGUGAUCAUAUGUAUACAUGUCCCUAAAUUCUCUUUACUGUCUCCCUCCCUUGAUGCACAUAAGUACCCUGACCCGUGUGUCUCCCCUGUUUUAAAAAUAGCAUAGUUUGUGUCAUCUCUUUAUCUUUCUUCCAUGGCUUAGCACUAACUCUGUGUACUUAUCUGAAUGUUGGUCUGUUUUGGCCACCCCAAACUAUUACAUCUCUGCUUCAGGAAUGCCCCCUCAUUUCUUUGCCAUGUAACCUGUGCCAAGGUAGGGGAGGAAAGUGGCUUCUUGGAGGGCCAGGUGCUCUGUAAUAGCACUUAUGUCAUGAAAGGAGAGAGAUUGGCCCUCCAACAUAUACUUUCUCGUCAGUUUUCUGGGCCAGGGCAGAGGCAGACAUUGCAUCUCUGGACUAAAGUCAACUACAAAGUCCAUUCAGAGCUUGAGACUAGAGAACACCCAGUCUUGCUGUUGAGUCUUGCUGGAUGCGUAACUCAGCCUUACUGGGCACUUGUCCACACUUAGAAAGAAGAGGCUGCCAGAAAUGAGUCCCCUGCCUUUUAUUAGCAGAGAGAUUGGACAGUCCAUCCAGGUAUGAUGACACCACCAGCAGUGUCAACUUGACAAUGGCACCCUCUCAAGUGGCUGAUAAGAAUGUAAGAGAGGAGGGGCCCCAAUGAGAAGGGAUGAUGGAAAUGGGGUGGGGAGAAAUGAAAUGUUUAGUGAGGCUGCAUUGUGCUGGGCACUUAGCCUGCGUUGUGUCUUCUAUCAUUUACCUUUCAAACUGAUGUCCCUCACGUCCACCCCAAUGCUCUGUUCCUACAGAUCUCGUGGCAGUAUGGUUUCUAGCCCAUGAAGUUCAACCUCGUAUCCCAGCACCCCCUCAUUGAUCCUCAAUAAUUCAAAUACAGACAAAAAACCCAGUUUAUUAAGCAUUUACUGAGCACUCAUCCACUGUCCCACACGGUGUCAAGCAUUGUGGAGAAUAAAAAAGAAGCAUGGGGCA
ensembl:lncRNA